GCAAUCAAUUUAAGUCAACUCUUUUGAAUUAGAGGUUAUGCAACAAAAUUAUCCCCACGGCGUGUAAAUAAAUAAAGCUCAGGUGUAUGAAGUUAUCAAAGGUUAGGGAGUAGAUGACAAGACAGGAGAGGCGUACAGGAAAUCCUUUUGAGAAAGAAUCAUCAAAAGAAUGAAGAUCUCUUUAGCCCUAACUUAUGUCAUUCUGAUCACUCUGCUUUCUGUGCAACAAACGACCUCUUUCAUUCGCCAUGGAAGAGAUGAAAUAACAGAACGCUUUCGACUCGUCGAGAAUCAAUGGCCCGCUAAAGAUCUUGACCAAGCUGUCCCACAUCAAUUGGGGAGAAACCCUCUGUGGAGGAGACGUUACUAACAAUGAAACCGAAAACAACCGCUUUAAAAUGUUUUAUCAAUGAUGAAAAUAAAAUUUCUGCACUUAACAGA